GUGGGGAAUAUUGGACAAUGGGGGGAACCCUGAUCCAGCCAUGCCGCGUGUGUGAAGAAGGCCUUUUGGUUGUAAAGCACUUUAAGCGAGGAGGAGGCUACCGAGAUUAAUACUCUUGGAUAGUGGACGUUACUCGCAGAAUAAGCACCGGCUAACUCUGUGCCAGCAGCCGCGGUAAUACAGAGGGUGCAAGCGGUAAUCGGAUUUACUGGGCGUAAAGCGCGCGUAGGUGGCCAAUUAAGUCAAAUGUGAAAUCCCCGAGCUUAACUUGGGAAUUGCAUUCGAUACUGGUUGGCUAGAGUAUGGGAGAGGAUGGUAGAAUUCCAUGUGUAGCGGUGACAUGCGUAGAGAUCUGGAAGAAUACCGAUGGCGAAGGCAGCCAUCUGGCCUAAUACUGACACUGAGGUGCGAAAGCAUGGGGAGCAAACAGGAUUAGAUACCCUUGUAGUCC
rnacentral:rRNA from 1 species